GCCAGGUCCUGACAUUUUUAUAGAUAAGUAUAUGGAUAAUCAUUUGCUGAAAUUGGCUCAAAAUAUCCCUGGAGACUGGAAAGAACUGGCAAAAUUUCUUGGUAUUAGCGAUAGCAAAAUAAAGGAGAUUCGCUUGAAUAAUCUGGCUGAUGUGGUGUGGCAAGCAUAUAUGAUGCUCAAACAUUGGUGGACAUCUCGUCAUCAAGCCGCGCAGUCCUGGCGCGAGGAACUUCGCAAAGCUCUGUGUGAAAUUAAUAGACAAGAUUUAGCUCAGGAUUUCACAGGUGAUGUUCUUCAAACCGAUACAUGACGUGUUGUGUACCUAUAAAAAUGAACUUUUUAAGGUGAACUUAUUCUAAAUUUGAUUUUUUUUUCUGCACUUCACUUGGUUGAAACUGAAUGACGGAUAUAUAUACACUGUUUAUACCUAACCAGGAACGGUUGCGAAAAAUGCAACACUACUGUCACUAGGUCUUAGUGUUACAUUUGUUAGGUAUAUCGUCAUUUGGAUAUUAAUCCAUCUACUCCAAUAUUCGACCUUUUAAUAUGAUAAUAUCUUAUUUCUUUUGACGUUGUUUUUCCGAAAUUCUGCCUUGAAGGUCCUUUCAAAAAACCAGUUCAACAUUGUUUCGCAACCUUAUCCCACAAUUAAUGGAUGCAACAUAUUGGGUUUGUUCAGACAUGGUUGGCAAUGUUGGAGUUUGACUUUAUUUAAAAGUUUCAUCCAACGUAGUUUGACAUUGUGGCUUAGCAUCAUCCAACAUUAGUUAGUGGAUACCACAUGUUGGGUUUCAGUUCAAACGUUAGGUUUGCUGAUGUUGGCUGAUGUUUAUUCAAGUUUGACUUUUUCAAAAGUUUUUUUCAACGUCAUUGUUGGACUGGUUUGAAAUAGUCAUAGGAAAAACGAUAUGUUAAAAAUGUAAAACAGGGGCCGGUUGUAUAAAAAAGUGAUUAAAGUUAACUAUGAUUAAGUGCAAACGUCGUCCAAUAAGAAGCGCCUAUUUGAGAGUUAAGGCUGCAUUCCAGUUACGCGUUUUUCAUACGUGCGUACACGCACGUAAAAGUUGAAUUCGCUUUACAUCCUACUUAUGAAAUAACUAAAUUUAUAAAAGGACAGCAUUCAGUUUUGUGUAUGAUUUAAUGUGUAUUUGUUAAGGUUAUUUGCACUUAUAUGAAAUUUUAAGCGAAUUCAACUUUUACGUGCGUGUACGCACGUAUGAAAAACGCGUAACUGGAAUGCAGCCUUUAAUCACUUUUAACUACAAAAUAGUGAUUAAAAAAGUGAUUAAGAGUUUUAUACAACCGGCCCCUGGAACGUAUUUGAAAAAUUUCAUUUUCGUUGCCGUUUUGAACUGUUGAGCUUGAACUUGCGUUUAUAAUCGUCAAAUUCUAUUCGGUAUAUUGUUAAAAAAGUAAGUUCAAGAUGUAAUAUACUAUGUAAUCAUUAUAGCAUUGAAAUGCAAUUGCACAUUUUACUAUGAUUUUAUUAAUAUCUGCGAAGUGAACUGACAUUAUAUACAUUGCAUGCCCUUAGUAAAAAUUUGGCGAUUGUACAUGCCCACCAGAAAGAGUUGCAUUUUCAUCUUGCCUAGGCUACAGCUUACCAAUUAUAGUGAUUCUGCGUUGUUUUGUGUCUGUGAAAGCUCGUGUUUAUUCAGUUGACAAGGUGUUUCGCAAAUACAAACAAUCAUGCAGUUUAUUAUUCGCUCAGCACACCUAUAUAUAAUCAGAAGGAACUGGUGAUCUCUAUAACGAGGGUCCUGAAGGGGUAAAUGGGAACUGGGAUUUGCCUAUUUUUGGACUGGGUAAAUUUGGGUUACUGGGCUGUCUAGUAUUUGGCAAAAAAUUACUGGAGUUUAUAGACCUACAUUUGGUUAAUUUUUAACAAAGCACUUCCGGUUCAGAAAAUGCAAAAAAAUUUCCUCAGCUUUUUCCAUGAAAUUUCCUGAUAUAUGUGAAUGCGCAAUACACCCUUCCGGGAAGUACGGCCUAUAGAGCCUCGUUUUCGUGAUUGAGUUGUUGGGCUUUAACUUAUGUCACAUACACGAAGACGAGGCUGCAUAGCGAAAGUGCGUAUAGCCAAAGAAAACCGCUAUGCGUACAUUCUGAAACAAAAUCUGUGGAUAGAAUUUCUUUCUUUUCUUAGCUUUUUUCCUAUACAAUGGAAACUCCGAAGAAAUUCAUAUUUUUAAUUCAACGUUUCGACUACUGUUGAGUCAUCAGGAAUUAUGAAAGCUACUAAAAAUUUUACUUACUUUAAUUUUGUAGCUUUCAUAAUACACCCUUUCCGAUAAUUACGUCAUGCACAGAGAAGCAGAACAUCCUUCAUGAACAUGCAUGAAAAAGAAUUCUUCAUUUUGACCAAUAAAUGUGGAAAUAAGCUUUAACACGAAAAACGAGGCUCCAGACAAUGCUUAUUUCCAUAUUUACUGAUCAAAAUCCAAAAUUUUUUUCGCGCAUGUGUUGAAGAAGGGUG
rnacentral:lncRNA from 1 species